UGCAUUAAUUAGUAGGGAGAAAGGAGAAAUUAAAGAAAUUCUGCAAGCAUCCAAGGAAAGUGGUUUCUUCACCAAGUGUUCAGAAAAAGGAGAAACCAUCUGACAAGUCAAGUUCCCGAGAUGCAUCUCCAUUUAUUGUGAGUAUGCAGCAGAACAAAUGGGAUCCCUCCAGAUCACUACGAUUCAACCAAGAUGCUCAAAGAGAAGAUGGUCUGUUUUUGCAUGGACUUAGCUUUUGUAGCAUUAAUAUUAUGCAUAGAACAUUGUUCUUUCCUAUAA